rnacentral:rRNA from 1 species
GUGGGGAAUAUUGGACAAUGGGGGGAACCCUGAUCCAACCAUGCCGCGUGUGUGAAGAAGGCCUUUUGGUUGUAAAGCACUUUAAGCGAGGAGGAGGCUACCGAGAUUAAUACUCUUGGAUAGUGGACGUUACUCGCAGAAUAAGCACCGGCUAACUCUGUGCCAGCAGCCGCGGUAAUACAGAGGGUGCAAGCGUUAAUCGGAUUUACUGGGCGUAAAGCGCGCGUAGGUGGCCAAUUAAGUCAAAUGUGAAAUCCCCGAGCUUAACUUGGUAAUUGCAUUCGAUACUGGUUGGCUAGAGUAUGGGAGAGGAUGGUAGAAUUCCAGGUGUAGCGGUGAAAUGCGUAGAGAUCUGGAGGAAUACCGAUGGCGAAGGCAGCCAUCUGGCCUAAUACUGACACUGAGGUGCGAAAGCAUGGGGAGCAAACAGGAUUAGAAACCCUUGUAGUCC